UAGGGGGUUCUGAGAAGGAAGUUCCCCCACGUUGGUACUGAGACACGGACCAAACUCCUACGGGAGGCAGCAGUGAGGAAUAUUGGUCAAUGGCCGAGAGGCUGAACCAGCCAAGUCGCGUGAAGGAAGAAGGAUCUAUGGUUUGUAAACUUCUUUUAUAGGGGAAUAAAGUGGAGGACGUGUCCUUUUUUGUAUGUACCCUAUGAAUAAGCAUCGGCUAACUCCGUGCCAGCAGCCGCGGUAAUACGGAGGAUGCGAGCGUUAUCCGGAUUUAUUGGGUUUAAAGGGUGCGUAGGUGGUGAUUUAAGUCAGCGGUGAAAGUUUGUGGCUCAACCAUAAAAUUGCCGUUGAAACUGGGUUACUUGAGUGUGUUUGAGGUAGGCGGAAUGCGUGGUGUAGCGGUGAAAUGCAUAGAUAUCACGCAGAACUCCGAUUGCGAAGGCAGCUUACUAAACCAUAACUGACACUGAAGCACGAAAGCGUGGGGAUCGAACAGGAUUAGAUACCCUGGUAGUCCACG
rnacentral:rRNA from 1 species